rnacentral:rRNA from 1 species
CGCUGGCGGCGUGCCUAAUACAUGCAAGUCGAACGAAACUUCUUUAUCACCGAGUGCUUGCACUCACCGAUAAAGAGUUGAGUGGCGAACGGGUGAGUAACACGUGGGCAACCUGCCCAAAAGAGGGGGAUAACACUUGGAAACAGGUGCUAAUACCGCAUAACCAUAGUUACCGCAUGGUAACUAUGUAAAAGGUGGCUAUGCUACCGCUUUUGGAUGGGCCCGCGGCGCAUUAGCUAGUUGGUGGGGUAAAGGCUUACCAAGGCAAUGAUGCGUAGCCGAACUGAGAGGUUGAUCGGCCACAUUGGGACUGAGACACGGCCCAAACUCCUACGGGAGGCAGCAGUAGGGAAUCUUCCACAAUGGGCGAAAGCCUGAUGGAGCAACGCCGCGUGGGUGAAGAAGGUCUUCGGAUCGUAAAACCCUGUUGUUAGAGAAGAAAGUGCGUGAGAGUAACUGUUCACGUUUCGACGGUAUCUAACCAGAAAGCCACGGCUAACUACGUGCCAGCAGCCGCGGUAAUACGUAGGUGACAAGCGUUAUCCGGAUUUAUUGGGCGUAAAGGGAACGCAGGCGGUCUUUUAAGUCUGAUGUGAAAGCCUUCGGCUUAACCGGAGUAGUGCAUUGGAAACUGGGAGACUUGAGUGCAGAAGAGGAGAGUGGAACUCCAUGUGUAGCGGUGAAAUGCGUAGAUAUAUGGAAGAACACCAGUGGCGAAAGCGGCUCUCUGGUCUGUAACUGACGCUGAGGUUCGAAAGCGUGGGUAGCAAACAGGAUUAGAUACCCUGGUAGUCCACGCCGUAAACGACGAAUGCGAAGUGUUGGAGGGUUUCCGCCCUUCAGUGCUGCAGCUAACGCAAUAAGCAUCCGCUUGGGGAGUACGACCGCAAGGUUGAACUUCAAAGGAAUUGACGGGGGCCCGCACAAGCGGUGGAGCAUGUGGUUAAUUUGAAGCAACGCGAAGAACCUUACCAGGUCUUGACAUCUUUUGACAAUCCUAGAGAUAGGACUUUCCCUUCGGGGACAAAAUGACAGGUGGUGCAUGGUUGUCGUCAGCUCGUGUCGUGAGAUGUUGGGUUAAGUCCCGCAACGAGCGCAACCCUUAUUGUUAGUUGCCAGCAUUAAGUUGGGCACUCUAGCAAGACUGCCGGUGACAAACCGGAGGAAGGUGGGGAUGACGUCAAAUCAUCAUGCCCCUUAUGAUCUGGGCUACACACGUGCUACAAUGGACGGUACAACGAGUCGCAAGACCGCGAGGUUUAGCAAAUCUCUUAAAGCCGUUCUCAGUUCGGAUUGUAGGCUGCAACUCGCCUACAUGAAGUCGGAAUCGCUAGUAAUCGCGGAUCAGCAUGCCGCGGUGAAUACGUUCCCGGGCCUUGUACACACCGCCCGUCACACCAUGAGAGUUUGUAACACCCAAAGCCGGUGGGGUAACCUUUUAGAGCCAGCCGUCUAAGGUGGGACAGAUGAUUAGGGUGAAGUCGUAACAAGG